rnacentral:lncRNA from 1 species
CGGUAUAUUGUUGAGCCUUGAACCGACUCUAAUUUCUCUAAUUGCCCAAAUGGAAUGAUGGAACUUUGUUGGAACCUACCAUUACAUUAACAUCACUAUUUUAUUAAUUCACAUAAUAUAAACCCUAAAGCUAUCUUUUAGCUAGCUUUCAAUUGCCACUUUAAAUGGCUAUCUAUGUUCAUUAUCUUAAUUACUAUAAAAUGAAUGAACAUCCUUAACAAUAAACAGCUCAUAAUCCCAAUUACUAGCCAUUUUCUACAACUAAAAAUUGAAUUUAGUUCAUCACUCACCCUUGGGUUUCUUUGUAGUUGAAUUCUCUUCCAAUAGCUUCUAAAUAAAUGGGGUAAUUCUCUUUUUCUCUCUCUAAAAUGCCUAACUAGUGAGAGAAAGUAUGGAAAUAAGAUUUUUUUAGGGUUUUAAAGUGAGAGGAUGAAAUAGCACAAGGGUUUAUGGAAAGGUGCACCAAAAGCAUGAAAAUUGGAGCUAGAGAGAGAAAGUUAUGGAAGCUUGAAGAAAACUCCCCUGGACGAAUUGAAGAAACGUG